GGGUGUGAUCAUACCAACGUUAAUGCACUAUAUCCUAUCAAAACUCCACAGUUAAGAGCGCUUGGGCUACAAUAGUACUCGGAUGGGUGACCUUCUGGGAAGUCCUAGUGUUGCACCCU
rfam:Picea glauca, whole genome shotgun sequence.